UCCCAGCUGGUCAUUAAUCCUC
rnacentral:miRNA from 1 species